rnacentral:rRNA from 1 species
UACGAAGGGGGCUAGCGUUGUUCGGAAUUACUGGGCGUAAAGCGCACGUAGGCGGAUAUUUAAGUCAGGGGUGAAAUCCCUGGGCUCAACCCAGGAACUGCACCUGAAACUACCAGUCUUGAGUGGUGGAGAGGGAAGUGGAAUUCCUGGUGUAGAGGUGAAAUUCGUAGAUAUCAGGAGGAACACCAGUGGCGAAGGCGGCUUCCUGGACACCAACUGACGCUGAGACGCGAAAGCGUGGGGAGCAAACAGG